CUUUUCUGUUUUCAGGUGAUGAAGCUGUGAGUGAAUACAGCUCCCCGUGUGCAGAGAGUGACGAAGUCAAUGAAGUGUGACAGACACUGGACCUGGACCCGACCAAGUGCUUUCAUGUGUAGGAAGUCAUGUGUUUUUUUUAGGCAGAGCUCAUAGAACCUCUCCAUUUAUUUGGUUUGAUGCUUGUAGUUCCUGGUAACACAUUGACUAACUCGUGAUCUGUUUUUAAUAUUGUAAGUGAACAAAAACAUUUUAAUACAUGGUCAUAGAUGGGCCGUAGGAUUUGA